rnacentral:rRNA from 1 species
GACGGGGGGGGCAAGUGUUCUUCGGAAUGACUGGGCGUAAAGGGCUCGUAGGCGGUUUGUCGCGUCGGGAGUGAAAACUCAGGGCUUAACCCUGAGCCUGCUUCCGAUACGGGCAGACUAGAGGUAUGCAGGGGAGAACGGAAUUCCUGGUGUAGCGGUGAAAUGCGCAGAUAUCAGGAGGAACACCGGUGGCGAAGGCGGUUCUCUGGGCAUUACCUGACGCUGAGGAGCGAAAGUGUGGGGAGCGAACAGG